UGGGGCGGGCCGGGGGCGGGUCUGCGGGAAGCCCGAGCCGGGGCGGGCCCGAGUCAAAGGCAAGUGAAGGUGGAAGCGGCCGCGGCGGCAGCAGACCCCAGAGUCAGAAGGAGUGAGAACCCUGACCCCUAAUCCCACUGCAUCCAGCCAAUAGGAGCCCAGCCACUAUGGCGGAGCUGCAGGAGGUGCAGAUCACAGAGGAGAAGCCACUGUUGCCAGGACAGACGCCUGAGGCGGCCAAGGAGGCUGAGUUAGCUGCCCGAAUCCUCCUGGACCAGGGACAGACUCACUCUGUGGAGACACCAUAUGGCUCUGUCACUUUCACUGUCUAUGGCACCCCCAAACCCAAACGCCCAGCGAUCCUUACCUACCACGAUGUGGGACUCAACUAUAAAUCUUGCUUCCAGCCACUGUUUCAGUUCGAGGACAUGCAGGAAAUCAUUCAGAACUUCGUGCGGGUUCAUGUGGAUGCCCCUGGAAUGGAAGAGGGAGCCCCUGUGUUCCCUUUGGGAUAUCAGUACCCAUCUCUGGACCAGCUUGCAGACAUGAUCCCUUGCGUCCUGCAGUACCUAAAUUUCUCUACAAUAAUUGGAGUUGGUGUUGGAGCUGGAGCUUACAUCCUGGCGAGAUAUGCUCUUAACCACCCGGACACAGUCGAAGGUCUUGUCCUCAUCAACAUUGAUCCCAACGCCAAGGGUUGGAUGGACUGGGCAGCCCACAAGCUAACCGGCCUCACCUCUUCCAUUCCGGAGAUGAUCCUUGGACAUCUUUUCAGCCAGGAAGAGCUCUCUGGAAAUUCUGAGUUGAUACAAAAGUACAGAAAUAUCAUUACACAUGCACCCAACCUGGAUAACAUUGAGUUGUACUGGAACAGCUACAACAACCGCCGAGACCUGAACUUUGAGCGUGGAGGUGAUAUCACCCUCAAGUGUCCUGUGAUGCUGGUGGUAGGAGACCAAGCACCUCAUGAAGAUGCAGUGGUUAGUAGGGAAUUUUGGGGUGAGCGAGGGAGGAGGGUUGGGGUCCUAGAGUGGUGGUCAGAAGAGUAUCUUGCCAAGGGGAUGUCCUGUUUGGCACAGGGAGAUCAACUUUGGGGCACUAAGAAUUUGAUUCCUGGUAAGGAGGAACUGGGUAGGGAGCUGAUAGAAAAGGGACUGGGGUCUGAGUUCCUGGGUCCCUUACGGGGGAGGGGCCACAGUGGGCGUGACCUCAUUCAUUCAGCCUCCUGCUUACUCCAGGUGGAAUGUAACUCAAAACUGGACCCCACCCAGACCUCGUUCCUCAAGGUCAGUAACCUGUUCCUGGGCCCCUGUCCACAGUCAUAUAUCCUCUCUAGAUUCAGCUGCCAAGCCUCCAGGGCCCUGCAUGGGAGCAAAUGGGGUGAACGAAGAACAAAACAAAGGGGCUAGAGUGAAGAAGCUAGGGAAGAGAGACCCUUUCCACCUCUCCGCAUGGCUCAUUUAUGUAUGUUUCACUUUUUCUGGGUGGCGCUCUCCUGAACAGAUGGCUGACUCCGGAGGUCAGCCCCAGCUGACUCAGGUGAGUACCCCUGCCGUCCAUGGGAUGGGGAAGUGACAUAGGAUACCGGUGGCACUGGGCUCUGCCCUUUGCCACACACCCUGUCCCCACAAUGCCACAGCCUCAGGCUCCAGCUCUGCCUCUAACCUCAUCUCACCGUCUCCCUCGCCUCUUCUUACUUCCACAGCCAGGCAAGCUGACCGAGGCCUUCAAGUACUUCCUGCAAGGCAUGGGCUACAUGGCCUCAUCCUGCAUGACUCGCCUGUCCCGGUCUCGUACAGCCUCUCUGACCAGUGCAGCAUCUGUUGAUGGCAACCGGUCCCGCUCUCGCACCCUGUCCCAGAGCAGCGAGUCUGGAACUCUUUCUUCGGGGCCCCCAGGGCACACCAUGGAGGUCUCCUGUUGAAUGACCCUUGUUGCCCUAGUGUGGGACCCAGCCCUCACCUCCCCCAGAACUAACCUGGGAGGUGCUGAAGGGGCAUUGGGCCAGAGUAAGCAAGGGAAAAAGGGCAGAUCAUGUGGGGAGAUGACCUUGAUCUUUGAUUGCUACCCUAACCUUGACCUUUAACCUGUGAUUUCCCCCCAGCUCCUGGAAGAGAUGUCCUAAUAUCUCUUAGGGACCCAGACCCCUAAAUUCUCCUCCUCCCCCAUUUUGGUGUUAAGGUGGAGAGGGCAUGCAUCCUCUGUCCUGAUCUAGGUGUCUGUAGCUGAGGGGUAAGAGGUUGUUGUAGUUGUCAUGGUGCCUCCAUCAGACAGUCCCUACUCAUCCCAUAUUUGCAAGGGGAGGGGAUUUGGGGCUGGGGCUCCAUUCACCAAAGCUGAUAUGGCUUCUCAUUAACCCUUUAGGACUCUGAAGGGUAUGGACCUACAUGAAUGUGUGUCGGGGAGACUUGCUGGUGGGUUAGUGGUCCUCAGGAUGUGAUAGAAACAUCCAGUGUAAAAAGGAAGUUGGAAUGGGAGUUGGUGGGCAAUGAAUGAAUGUCGGGGAAGGAUUGGUGCUGGGGCAACAGGAAGGGGCCUGGGGCCAUUUGGCUGCACUAACUUUGGUAGCUCUCAGUGUGCAUCUAGAGUGGGACUGGGGAGGGAGCUAAGCUUGGGCUGGGCUGCUUGGGGCUUGGCAUAGGGGUGGAAAGGGCUACCCUGGGGCUCUGACCACACUGUAUUAUGUGUGGAGGGUGCCCUCCUGUCUCCCACAACUUCUGCUAUAACAAUAAACUGUAGACGAAUCUGA